rnacentral:tRNA from 2 species
UCAGCGAUAGUUUAGUGGUAGAAUACCUGGCGGUCUCCCAGGUGGCUGUGGUUCGAUUCCAUGUCGCUGAG